rnacentral:rRNA from 1 species
UACGCAGGGGGCUAGCGUUGCUCGGAAUCACUGGGCGUAAAGGGUGCGUAGGCGGGUUUUUAAGUCAGAGGUGAAAUCCUGGAGCUCAACUCCAGAACUGCCUUUGAUACUGAGAAUCUUGAGUUCGGGAGAGGUGAGUGGAACUGCGAGUGUAGAGGUGAAAUUCGUAGAUAUUCGCAAGAACACCAGUGGCGAAGGCGGCUCACUGGCCCGAUACUGACGCUGAGGCACGAAAGCGUGGGGAGCAAACAGG